GUGUGAGGGGACCGUGAAUCCAGGUAGGGGCCGUGCCCCGCGCAGGUCCGGCGACCCCCGCUUCUUUCUGCCCGCUUUCUCUGCGCACUUCUCACAAUGGGUUCGCUUCAGCGAGGCUUCGCGCUGUAGAGAACUGAAAAGGGACCGUCGGUCGCGCCCUGCUCACGUCAUGAAGGACCGCACAUUUAGCAGGAAAGUGAACCCCGAGAAGAUACAGAACUUACCUGAAGUCACCAGGCAGUUAGCCAGCAGGGCCGAGGUCAGAACCCGGGCUGUCUUCAGAUGCCUCUUCCCCAGCCCAUCUUGAUUCAGCCAGGAAUACCACAGCAAGGGCACAGCUUGGAACAGCCUUUGAUACCUUUGAACUUCACAAGGGUCUUGAGGGUAGAAGAGUGAGUCCUCAGAACUUGGAAAAAAAAAAAUACAGGACUUUCUGAGUGGAUUAUCUGGGAGGAGGUAAGCUCCCUACUGCUUGUAGGAGUGCAAGUAGACAUUCUGGGUGGUGCUGCAGAGACUCCAUUAUGAACUGAGAGGUUGGACUGAAGAGUCUUUUGGGUAUCUUCCAAAAUGUGGCUCUCAAACUGGGUUGAGGUGCUGGGAUGAAAAAGAAUGAGAUUUUUCUGAGAUUCCCUGAUUUCUGGGCUUGAAAGGUCUGAGAGAUCACCUAAGCCAGCCUUCCCCCUCUACCUCUGUCCACGGUAGAAAUUAAUUAUAUUUGACAAAGACAUUUAGCACAAUCCAUCGCACAGACACAUGCUAGGCACUCACUCAUUUAUUGAGUGAACAAACAGAAAGGGGGGUAGUGUAGAGUCAUGCAGACCCUGACUUGAAUCCCGCCUCGCCCAUUCUAGCUGCAUGAUCUCAGGCAUGUUAUUCAACUUUCUGCCUCUUAAUUUUCUCAUCUGCAAAAUGGAGAUGAUGGUGCUUACCUCACAAGACUGAGGGUCAGUGAGAGCUGAUUGAACUGGAAGCACCUAGCAGAGCCUCAAUAACUGUUCAUUGCCCCCAGUCCCCCAGGGCAUCAGAUGUAGCUUUUUUUCUGUGUUGCUUCAGAAGCAGCAGUUACUGAACUCUUCCUGUUUUACCCCCUUCACAAACUUGUGUUUAUCAGUAUGAAAUACUCUUGGAAAAACGCUAAAAAGGGCUGGCAGCAGGGAGUAGUGUAAAAGAACAUGGAGUCACGGACUCUGUUUUUCAUUUCUGGUUCAGACCUUUGCUAAUAGCUCAGUGACACUUGGUGACCCUCUGUGAGGCAGGGACCAACUCAUCUUCCCCAAACUUCCUGUGUAGCCUGGAUUCUGUCUGGAUUGGCUCCACCUCCAUCUUGUGUAAGCUAGAAACCUGAGUCAUUCUAAACACUUUCCUGACGCCCCCUCCAUCCCUUUGCUAAUCUAAUUAGUCACCAAGUCAUGUCUGGUCUGUCUCUCAAAUAGCUUCAGAAUCCAUUCCAUUCUCUUCAUCCCCAAGUGUGCCGUCUGGUUCCUGCCCUGCCUGCCCAGCACCAGAGCUGCUGCCUCCCUUGCUAGCUCAUUCCCCACACUGCCACUGCUUACUUCUCUAAACAAGGCUCUGAUCACAUUCCUCUCCUAUUGGAAACCCUUCUGUAGUGCUCUGUUUUCCCCAGCAUAAAGUCUAAACCAAACUCUUUAGAGUGAUGUUCAUUUGUUCAAAUAUUUACGGAGGCUCACAGGUGCCAGGCACUUUGCUGGGCCCUGGGGUACCAUGAUGUACGAGGCCCAGUGUCUGCCCCUGGGGGGCUUACUGUUGGGUGGGGGAGAUGCUAGACAGAUCACUACUCUGAGACACUGAUAACUCACAGCUAACUGAACUGGAGUGGGAGAGGUGCUUGGUCAAGGAGUGUAUAAAGGGCCUGCCUUUCUGGGUUCAAACCACAUUCUUGCCUCUGCAGUUUACCUCAUUCCCUGAAUUCACUGUGCUCAUUCAUAAGUCUGUGCCUUUGUCUUUUUCCUCCUGUCUGGAGUGUCCUUCCCUGCCUGCCUUUUUAAGAAUGUCUAUGCAUCCUUCCAGGACUAAUUCCAGUAUCACUGCCACUUCCUCCAGGAAGCCUUCCUUGACCUGCUUCAUGUGUUCAUUUAUUCAUUCUACAGACAGCAGAAAUUCCUCCAUCUAAGCUUCCUUUAUAGCACAUAAGUAGAUUUUUUGAUGACACUGAUCAGAUUGUAUCAUAAUUGUCUGUGGGCUCCUCAAGGGCAGGACCUCAUUUAGUUAUGACCUCAGGCCUACCACAAUAUCGUCACUCGGAAAAUGUGUGCUGAAUGAAGUCAUUUAACAGCUCUGUGCCUUAGUUUCUUCAUUUGAAAAAGAGGCCAACUAACAUCUUCCUUUUUUCUGUUAGGAGGCUGUUGGCAAGAUUCUGCCAGUAGUGUUUGUGUGUUUGAGUGCUUUCUAAACUACACAGGAGGUCUUUAAUGCAGGACAGAAAGGAAAGGGUUUAAUUGCUCCAAACUGCAGUGGGCCUCUGGAAUGUGAUAGCAAGAAGGGCAGAAGAUCUGCCUGGCAGCACCUGCUUUGUUGGCUUGGGGGUGUUUCCCAGCUGGUUUUUUAGGUGGGUUUUCCUAGGUGCCAGGUACGGUUUAUAGCUUUGCUCACAGGGCUUAUAGUGGGGCAGCUACUUCUGGCCUGUUCUUCGGGGUGUGCCCAGAUUCUGCAGAGUCCCUACCCCCUUUCCAUCCUUAUGCUAGCAUCCUCAGCCCUUUUGCUUAAGGAAGGAGCAUUGUAGCAGGAGGCAGAGGGAGUCAUUGGGUGCAAGAGAGCAGUCCAGCCUCGUCUCUGCCGCCAGCUCACGGCAUGACUUGUGUAUGCUGCCUCCCCCACCUGUAAAAUGAGGGUGUUAGGUUAAAUGACUUGUCUUCUGGAUGUUUCUUUUGUCACACCUCUCAACCCCUUCGGAAUCUUGUUCAUUCUUUAAGUCCUAGCUCAAAUGCCGCUCUCAUGGAAACACCCUGAUUUCCCCUCCUUCCUUUGCAGUCCUAUGGCACAUGACUUGUGUCUCCAUUUCAAACACCUAUUUUCCUUGUGCUGUUUUGUUAGACAUUACACAGUGUCUCCAUAUUAAGUCCUGUUAACUAUGAGCUCCUUCAGAUUGCUUCACUCUCCUUUAUUUAUUGCUUCACACUCCCCACAACUGACCUGGCCCAGGACUUUGCUGACAAUAGUAAUGAAUAUAGUUGUAACAAUAGCAGCUAUGACUUACUGGUCAUUUGCUUUAUGACAAGCAUUGUUGUAAAAACUAUUUUUCUAUGUGAGUGGUUUUCCGACUGUCUUUUCAGUCACUGUGAGGUUUCUUCAGAGGCCCUCCGAAUCUAGCAAGGGAGGGGGUUCCAUAUAGUUGGGGAAGAGCCUCACCUUAUUUCAGCCAGAGCAACUUUCUUGUAUUAUUUUAUCAAAGGAUUCUCUCUGUCUCUGUCUCUUGUUUUUUUUUUUUUUAGACAGGGUCUCGCUCUGUUACUAAGGUUGGAGUGUUGUGGCACUAUCACAGCUCACUGUAGCCUCCAACUCUGGGGCUCAAGUGAUCCUCCGACUUUAGCCUCCUGAGUAGCAGGGACUACAGGUGGACCACCACGCCCAGCUGAUUUUUUUUUUUUUGAGACGGAGUUUCGCUCUUGUUACCCAGGCUGUAGUGCAAUGGCACGAUCUCGGCUCACUGCAACCUCCGCCUCCUGGGUUCAGGCAGUUCUCCUGCCUCAGCCUCCUGAGUAGCUGGGAUUACAGGCACACGCCACCAUGCCCAGCUAAUUUUUUGUAUUUUUUUUUAGUAGAGAUGGGGUUUCACCAUGUUGACCAGGAUGGUCUCGAUCUCUUGACUUCGUGAUCCACCUGCCUCGGCCUCCCAAAGUGCUGGGAUUACAGGCGUGAGCCACCACACCCGGCCCGAUUUUUAAAAUUUUUUGUAAAGGCAGGAUCUUACUGUGAUGCCCAGUUUGGUUAUUAAAGAUUUGAUUCCUUAGUUAAAAAUUAAACUAAGAGAAUUUUGCUGCAUUUAUUUCUUGUAAUCUGCGGAACAGUCCAAUGAAGAAGAGAUUGUUCUAUUUGUGAGGAAGCAGGCUCAGAGAGAUGAAGCCUCGGGCCCACAGUCAUUAACUCAGCUGAUGGGAGCAGAGUUUUAAAUUGAGAUCUGUCUGAGCUCUUCUUGUCUGUAAAGGAGUCUUUCCGGCAGCUUUGACAACUUCUAGGGAGAAAAAGCUCCCAGGGAUUGCUGAUUGGGGGAGGUGGCAGGGCCUGCUUCCUGUUCUCCUCCCAAAAAACCCCAUGCCUCCAAUUAGCCUUAAGAGUAAUUGUCUCAGAAGCUAUCAAACACAAUAAAAAGAGAAAGCCCAGGCCCUCAGUGGGUUGGCCACUGUUACACUUAUAGGUUGAUUUAGAACAUGUCUAUAUGGCUCUGUCCUCAGAGCUGUUCCCAGCUGUUCUCUGUGCCCUUGAGCUCAGCUUGUCUGCAGAUGUAUUGGGGCUCUGCUCUGCUGGGUCCAGUGCUAGCCAUUUAGGGAGAUGGAGUGGAACAUGCCAAGCCUCAGGGAUCCCUGGCUAUUGGUGUGGGAAGAUGGAUAAGAGGGAAAGCCCCCAUGUAUGCUCUAAUGCACAGAUACCCUGGACUUAGAGCCAAGAGACCCAGGUUCUGGUCCCACCCCUUCCACACAGCCUGUGUGUGUGUGUGACUUUCCCGGGCUUGAGCCUUGUCCUCUGUAGGAGGCUGUUAUUAGUAGUUAAUGUUUACUGAGUGCUUACUCUGUGCCAGGUCCUGUGUCAGAGUGCUUCACAUAGCACUCUAAGCCUCAUUUCAUUCACAUACCACCCUGAGAGGUAGCUACUAUUACUAUUCCCAUUUUACAGCAGAAAAUAUUGAGACUUAGAGAGGAUUAAGUCAGUCCAGUUAGUAAGUGGUGGACUUGAACUGAUUGUUGUUUUUUUUUUCUUUUUCUUUCUUUCUUUUUUUGAGACUGGGUCUUACUCUAUCACCCAGGCUGGAGUACAGUGGUAUGAUCAUGGCUCACUGUAAGUCUUAACCCCACCAGGCUCAGGUGAUCCUCCCACCUUUGCCUCCCGAGUCACCGGGACUAUAGGUAUGCGCCACCAUGCCAGCUAAUUUCUUUUUUUUUUUUUGAGUCUUGCUCUGUCACUAGGCUGGAGUGGUGGCAAAAUCUCAGCUCACUGCAACCUCUGCCUCCCUGGUUCAAGCGAUUCUUCUGCCUUAGCCUCCCUAGUAGCUGGGACUACAGGCGGGUGUCACUAUGCCCAGCUAAUUUUUUUUUUGUAUUUUUAGUAGAGAUGGGGUUUCACUGUGUUGGCCAGGACGGUCUUGAUCUCUUGAUCCACCUGCCUCGGCCUCCCAAAGUGCUGGGAUUACAGGAGUGAGCCAUUGUGCCCAGCCUCGAUUUUUUAUUUUAUUUUAUUUUUUAGUAGAGAUGGUGUUUCGCCAUGUUGCCCAGGCUUGUCUUCAACUCCUGGGCUCAGGCGAUCUGCCCGCCUCAGCCUUUCAAAGUGCUGGGAUUACAGGUGUGAGCCUCCAUGCCUGGCUGUUGAACUGGCCUUUUAAACCAUUGUAUCAUAUUGCCUUAGGAAUAGGGUCUCCCUGCCUGCCUCACGGAGUUGUGAGUGAGGAUAGGGAAAUGUUUUUACAUCAGGAUCUACAACCGGGUAAGGAAGACAUGCUGUGAAUGAAUCCACGCUAUAGAUAUGUUGUUGGUGACCGAUGAGGGUCAGGGGUAUGUGUUAGAGACUGCAUUUGCCUUGUGAGUCCUGCAGAUAGAGCAGAUAGAGAUGGGGGUACCACAGGAUGGGCAUUUGGAAUUCUCUUUGAUUCAUCUGCCUAUUCAUUCAUAUAGGAAAUACUUACUGAGCAUCCAUUAUACACUGGGAACUGGGGAUAAAGUGACAAACCAGACAUGAUCCCAGCCCUUGUGGAGCCCCUUGGUAUGAAGGAAAGGAGAGUUAGGAGAGCAGGAUUCCACACUGACUCUGCAGGUUAUUGGUGGUAUGACUUUGGGUAAACUCAGUUUGCCCAUCUCAGAAGAGAGAUCUUAAUUCCAUUCCUACCUGUAGGAUCAGUUGAAGGCUGGUGGUAGAAGUGCCUUAGGGCUGUAAAGUGCCAUACUCUGCCUAGUUUCUGGCCUUGUCAUUCUGACUGAUAUCUUGCUCUUC